CUGUGAAUAGGCACAAUAGUAGUGAAUGCAAUGCUCAGUUGACUUGAGCAUUCCUCUUCCACUCCUCAAUUAAUCUCUUAAUAAUAAGCUCACAACUCCCACCAACACCACAAGCCUUCCUUGCUGCCUCCUUCAUUUCUCCUGCUUUGACUCUCAAAGACUCAUCGGUCAUCAUCUCUUUGAUUUUCUUAGCAAUCUCCUUCCCUUCCACCACCUUUUGUGUCCCCCACCCCCAUUCCUCAGCCCAAAUCCCAACCCCACUCAUCUUUAUGGCUUCUGAGGUCAUCUUCUGAUCUCCAUACUGAGGCCAUGUCAGAAUAGGCACUCCUUCCGACAAGGUCUCAGUUAUUGAGUUCCAACCUCCAUGACUCACAAACCCCCCCACUGCAGGGUGCCCCAGAAUCUUCAUCUGAUUCACAUAUUCCUUCACAACCACACCCCUUUCCUUCACUUUACCCAUCAACUCACUCCCUAACACAUCCUCCAAACCCUCAUCCUCUUCUCUGUCAACCCUCUUCAAUUUCACCACCCACAAAAAACUAUACCCACAUUCUAUUAACCCCAAAGCCGUGUCCUUUAUCUGCUCCCUCCUCGUCUCAGUUCUGCUCCCCAAGCUAACAUACACCACCGACCCUUCAGCUUGUUCAUCAAGCCAUUCCAGUAUCCAACUCAUGCCAUUCUUUUGACCUUCAUUCACAUUCUCAAACUCACAGGCCAUUAAGGGACCGAUUCCAUACACCGGAGGCAACCCUCUAACCACUUUUCCUUCAUUCAAAGCUGCUAGUGCCUCUCCUUCCAGUUCCUCAAACGAGUUUAUCAAAACCCCAUCGAGCUUCGUGAGGUUUCGACUGUCCUCCAUGAUCAUUCUCUGAAAGGAGUUGCUACCUUCAAGAAGAAAAGCUUGAGGGACCGAGGAUCUUGGUAUCGGUGAUGUGAAGCCCGGGACUUGAACAGCAUCACCAAUGAACCUAGAAGGGUGCGGUUGUGCAGCUGGAUCGGAAUCAGCAAGAACAGAAACGCAUGCAAUGAAAGACAACAUUCUAGCUGAAGAGGUGAAGUAAAUGUAACUGGGACAAGAGAGUUUGUCAGAAAUUGAGACUACAGCGGAGAUUAAGGAAACAUUGUAUAUGAAAGCAGAAAGUGGUGUUGCGAGUGAAGAUAGGAUUGGAAGUAGAAGGUGAAUGGAAUGACGAAUGGUUUGAAACUGAAGGUAAAAAGGGUCAAUGUUGGUGGAAACUGUGGUUGGAUCCAAUGGAACGGGGUUGAAGUCAACUUGAGUUACUUGAUGAGGGAAAGAAGAACAAAAGCGGGUUAUGAGGUCUGAUUCAGCCAUGGAUACAGUGGGUUUGGGAGUGAUGAGAGUGACUUUACAACCUUGGCGGAGGAACACUGCGGCUAGUCUGAGACAUGGGUUGAGGUGACCCAUGCCAGCACUAGGGAGGAAACCCACAUGAACAACUGCUUCAGAAGCAGACAUUGUUUAUGGAAUGAAUGAAGUGUUGAUAAAGAAAGAGAACAAGAAGUAGAAGUUUAUGGCUCCUGUUUGAAAAGGGAGAAUGGUCGUUGUCCUCGG
rnacentral:sRNA from 1 species